GGCUCAGGACGAACGCUGGCGGCGUGCUUAACACAUGCAAGUCGAACGGUGAUCAGGAAGCUUGCUUCUUGUGAGCAGUGGCGAACGGGUGAGUAACACGUGAGUAACCUGCCCCUGACUCUGGAAUAAGCGCUGGAAACGGCGUCUAAUACCGGAUAUGACACUAAACCGCAUGGUUAUGGUGUGGAAAGUUUUUCGGUCUGGGAUGGACUCGCGGCCUAUCAGCUUGUUGGUGAGGUAAUGGCUCACCAAGGCGAUGACGGGUAGCCGGCCUGAGAGGGCGAUCGGCCACACUGGGACUGAGACACGGCCCAGACUCCUACGGGAGGCAGCAGUGGGGAAUAUUGCACAAUGGGCGAAAGCCUGAUGCAGCGACGCCGCGUGAGGGAUGACGGCCUUCGGGUUGUAAACCUCUUUCAGCAGGGAAGAAGCGAAAGUGAC
rnacentral:rRNA from 1 species